GCCUUCGUGGUGUAACGAGAGCACACUCGGCUCGUAUUCGAGAUGUCCAGGUUCGGGUCCUGGCGAAAGGU
rnacentral:tRNA from 1 species